GGACACAGUAUUUACUGCUAUUCUUCUAUUUUUACAUGUCUUUUCAGAAAAAUAUCUAUGUAUACAAAAUGAAUACAUAAUGAAAGAAAACAGGCAAAAUUGACAUACUUGCCAGCAUCUUUCGAAUUCUCACCAUUGUCACCUGUCACCUGGCAACAGUAACUUCAACUGCCACAUUCAAAGCCCCUGUCUUUUGAUAUAGUACAUAAGCUCCUUUUCUCCAAUUCCCCUGCAUUUUCCAUUGGUAGGAAUAUUGGGAAUCUAAGAUGCUAAAUAACUCAGCGAUGACAACAAUAAGCAAACCCGUAAAUGUGCUGAGCAUGAAGCAGGCACUCAGGAGAUUCCUGUUGUUUGAGUGAUGAUGGAGAUUGUGGUUUUGGUGAUAUUCGUGAUUUGGUAGCCACCCAGACCCCUAAGCGAAAGAAGUCAAAGAAAAUGUACCUUGCGAGUAUUGAUUUCUCAUUAAAUAUUGAAUCUGUAUAAAGACAUUCAACAAGAUGCUGAAGAAGUACAUGGAAUACCCAUCAAUUUAUCACUCAGAAAAUUAGAUGUAGAAAAGAAACUCACUGACUUCUGAAAGCAAUAAACCUUGGAAGAGUCAAACUGACCCUCAGACUUAUUAACACUCUCAAAUAAGAGACAGAAUCAAACUGUAAAGAGACUAUUUUCUGAAUUAUCUUUGCUAUUAAUCUAUUUUAUAGGCUCAUUGAUUUUUAAAAAAUUAUAUGCUUACUUUCAUAUAUGAUGAAACAUAUACAUCAUGUAUGUUUACAAAUAUAUACCUUUACUUUCUUAAUUACAUAUAAUGAAGUAAUUUAAAAUAAAAUGUAACCAUAGAAGUUGAGCCAGCAGCCCUAUUAAUGAACACAGGAUAGGAUUAUGAAUUGGUACGAUGGAAACCAUUUGCACUCAGGCAGGUAGGCAUACCUCCCUCAGUUACGGUCACCACUAUUGAAAUGAAAGGUAUCCUUUGACUUAAAAUAAUUUAAUUUUCAAGGAAUAUUUAACUUUUCUAGCUGAAGUCUUUAUAAAAUAUUCUUUAACAUCAACUGGGUUGAAGAAAAGGACAGAAUAAUCACAUCGGCAAAUAAUAGUAGGUAAAGAACAAUAGAUGAAACAGAGAGAUACUGAAAAGAAGACUUGAAGACUAAUAUUUGAACAGACUAACACAAGGAAUCAAGCCAAAAUAUUUCAUGGAGUUAAACAAUCAUGAAAUACCCUAUUUCAAUAACGUGCUUCUACUUAAUUGCCGCUGACAGAGACUUGACUUGUAAUAUUCAGAUUUAGUCCUUUACCUCUGCAUUCUACUUCAUAUUAGGCCAAGAAGUUGAACUCAAACAAGGCGUUAAUUGUUAAAAUAUCUUGUUUCAUACGUUCUGGUUUAGAACUUCCUUACCAAUAUGUGUGUCCUCAAAUUAACUUAUCUGGCUGCCAAUUUCAUUUUGAGAAAUAUUUUUGACAUUUACUAAUGCAAAAAGUUGUGUCCCACUUGCUCUUAAGUCAUACUUAUAUCAGCUUUCCCUUUUAUGACCUCAAAUAAAAAAACAGUAAUUGAUAAAAUCGGCCAGGACACUUGAGGAGCUAUCCUUCAAUUUCCAAUAUAUUACAGACCCCUCAUUACAAUGA
ensembl:lncRNA